UUCUGGGGGACCCCCCGGGGGUGGCCAGGCUCAAGCGGUACCUGAGGGCCUGUGGGGUGCGCCCCAACUACAAGAAGCUUCUGGGGGGCUGCAGAGGGCCCAAGGAGGAAAUGGGGGUGCUGAGGGGGGAGCUGCAGGCCCUGGGCCUCACUGGCCCCCCCUCCCUGGCUCGCUGCCGGCGCCUGAGGCUGCGCAGGGAGGAGGAAGCCGAAGCUGCAGCCCUGGACCCCUCCAACAUCCUCCCCCACUCCAGACGCAGCUCCCAGCAGCCCCCCAGGGCUGGGCCGGCAGAGGGCCCCCCCCC